AAAGUUAACUAGGUUAGUAUGUAAAUCUGAGGAAAGUGUCAUGUUCUAAAAGAAUGAGGGGGUGGAAAUGAAAAUUUUGGAAUUAAAACACUUAACAAAAAAAUUUGAUCAGUAUAUGAAUAUGGGUGUGUGUGUGCGAUCGAAAGAAAGGGGCAGGGGAGAAACCCUUCAUCCAAAAAUCCUACAAAUUGACCAAAUUGAGAAGGUUAAGAACUGAAUUCUAAAUGCAUGAGUUAGGAAUGUUCAUCCUCUAAGUGAAUUUGGUAUCAAGAUUUAAAGAAGGCGGCUCGAGUCAGCCGGGACGCAAACAAGACAAGACAAAUGUAAGUUUAAUACUUACUCAACUAGUAGAAAAUAUAGAUAUUAAAGUUUGAUUGAGCAUUGAUGUUUUUUUGUGAUAUGGAUUGUAUGUUGGAAUGUCAUGUAGUCGAACCGUAUGAACGGGUCGUACUAAUUGAAUGCAUGUUGGAAUGUCAUGUAGUCGAACCGUAUGAACGGGUCAUAUUAAUGGAAUGUAUGUUGGAAUGUCAUGUAGUCGAACCGUAUGAACGGGUCGUACUAAUGGAAUGUAUGUUGGAAUGUUAUGUAGUCGAACCAUAUGAACGGUUCGUACUAAUAUAAUGUAUGUUGGAAUGUCACGUAGUCGAACCGUGUGAACGGGUCGAAUUAAUGGAGAAUGUUAUAAAGUUAGACAGGUCUUUGAUCAAGUCUUAGUGUGCGAACUUGGUUUAAUCAUAAAGACCCGUUAGAUGGAAAAGUAUAUAUGAUAAAAAAACAAAAGAAUGAUAAUUGUUGAAAUAAAAGAAUGAAUAUGUUAGAUUAUUGUUUUGCAUAUUUAGUUGACUUGUUAAGAAUGUUAUAUGUAAAUAGUCCUCUGGAGCAAAUCUUGGACCGGAGGAACGAACACACAUCGCGCCGUUUAAUUGCUUUCGCUCGUCAAGUUCUAAAGGGUGAUAGGGUCUUUUGGUUAAUGGAUGUUUUUGUUUAUGUUAUAAUGUAAUGGUUACAACUUUUAUGUCUUUUGUAACGUGUCGUAGAAUUUAUUUGAA